UCCGAGUUGACCCCGGCAGUCUCUUAUGAGUCCCCACCAUUACGUGCUGGCAACAUAAGACGAGGGUUGCGCUCGUUGCGGGACUUAACCCAACAUCUCACGACACGAGCUGACGACAGCCAUGCACCACCUGCACACCAACCACAAGGGAACGCCUAUCUCUAGACGCGUCUGGCGCAUGUCAAACCCAGGUAAGGUUCUGCGCGUUGCUUCGAAUUGAACCACAUGCUCCACCGCUUGUGCGGGCCCCCGUCAAGUCCUUUGAGUUUUAGCCUUGCGGCCGUACUCCCCAGGCGGGGCGCUUAAUGCGUUAGCUACGACACGGAAACCGUGGAAAGGUCCCCACAUCUAGCGCCCAACGUUUACGGCGUGGACUAC
rnacentral:misc_RNA from 1 species